UGAAUACGAGAUGCUACGGCGUCGAAGCAGUCUAUGUCAUACUUCCAAGAAAAGCUUGCACUGUCAUAAACAAAUAAUGCCUGUACCAUAACCGACACAGGUGGGUAGGUAGAGUAUACUAAGGGGCGCGAGAUAACUCUCUCUAAGGAACUCGGCAAAAUGACUCCGUAACUUCGGGAGAAGGAGUGCCUUAUUUAUAAGGUUGCAAUAACAAGAUCCAAGCAACUGUUUACCAAAAAUACAGGUCUCCGCUAAGUCGUAAGACGAUGUAUGGGGGCUGACGCCUGCCCAGUGCCAGAAGGUUAAAGAAGUUGGUUAGCAUCCGCGAAGCUGAUAACUGAAGCCCUGGUGAACGGCGGCCGUAACAAUAACGGUCCUAAGGUAGCGAAAUUCCUUGUCGGGUAAGUUCCGACCCGCACGAAAGGCGUAAUGAUUUGGAUACUGUCUCGGAGAGGGGCUCGGUGAAAUAGACUUGUCUGUGAAGAUGCGGACUACCUGCACCAGGACAGAAAGACCCUAUGAAGCUUUACUGUAACCUGAAAUUGAAAUUGGACUUUACUUGCGCAGUAUAGGUGGGAGGCGUUGAGAAUAUUCUUGCGGGAUUAUUGGAGCCAUCAGUGAGAUACCACUCUUGUAAUGUUAGAUUUCUAACUUUUAUCAUUAUCUGGUCAAAGAACAGUUUCAGGCGGGCAGUUUGACUGGGGCGGUCGCCUCCUAAACGGUAACGGAGGCGCACAAAGGUUUCCUCUGAACGGGUAGAAAUCGUAUCUAGAGUGUAAAGGCAUAAGGAAGCUUGACUGUGAGACCUACAAGUCGAGCAGGGACGAAAGUCGGUCUUAGUGAUCUGACGGUGCUGAGUGGAAAGGCCGUCACUCAACGGAUAAAAGUUACUCUAGGAUAACAGGCUGAUCUCCCCCAAGAGUUCACAUCGACGGGGAGGUUUGGCACCUCGAUGUCGGCUCAUCGCAUCCUGGGGCGGUAGUACGUCCCAAGGGUUGGGCUGUUCGCCCAUGAAAGCGGUACGCGAGCUGGGUUCAGAACGUCGUGAGACAGUUCGGUCCAUAUCCGGUCUAGGCGUUAGAAUAUUGAGAGGAGCCUUCUUUAGUACGAGAGGACCGAGAAGGACAUACCUCUGGUGUACCAGUUAUCGUGCCAACGGUAAACGCUGGGUAGCUAUGUGUGGAGUGGAUAACCGCUGAAAGCAUCUAAGUGGGAAGCCCACCUCAAGAUAAG
rnacentral:rRNA from 1 species